rnacentral:rRNA from 1 species
CCUACGGGGGGCUGCAGUGGGGAAUAUUGGACAAUGGGCGAAAGCCUGAUCCAGCCAUGCCGGGUGUGUGAAGAAGGCCUUCGGGUUGUAAAGCACUUUCAGUGGGGAAGAAAGCCUUGGGGCUAAUACCCUCGAGGAAGGACAUCACCCACAGAAGAAGCACCGGCUAACUCCGUGCCAGCAGCCGCGGUAAUACGGAGGGUGCGAGCGUUAAUCGGAAUUACUGGGCGUAAAGCGCGCGUAGGCGGUCUGAUAAGCCGGUUGUGAAAGCCCCGGGCUCAACCUGGGAACGGCAUCCGGAACUGUCAGGCUAGAGUGCAGGAGAGGAAGGUAGAAUUCCCGGUGUAGCGGUGAAAUGCGUAGAGAUCGGGAGGAAUACCAGUGGCGAAGGCGGCCUUCUGGACUGACACUGACGCUGAGGUGCGAAAGCGUGGGUAGCAAACAGGAUUAGAUACCCGAGUAGUC